rnacentral:rRNA from 1 species
UUUUGGACAAUGGGCGCAAGCCUGAUCCAGCAAUGCCGCGUGCAGGAUGAAGGCCUUCGGGUUGUAAAUCGCUUUUGUACGGAGCGAAAAGGCUUCCACUAAUAUUAGGGGCUCAUGACGGUACCGUAAGAAUAAGCACCGGCUAACUACGUGCCAGCAGCCGCGGUAAUACGUAGGGUGCGAGCGUUAAUCGGAAUUACUGGGCGUAAAGCGUGCGCAGGCGGUUAUGUAAGACAGAUGUGAAAUCCCCGGGCUUAACCUGGGAACUGCAUUUGUGACUGCAUAGCUAGAGUACGGUAGAGGGGGAUGGAAUUCCGGGUGUAGCAGUGAAAUGCGUAGAUAUGCGGAGGAACACCGAUGGCGAAGGCAAUCCCCUGGACCUGUACUGACGCUCAUGCACGAAA